ensembl:lncRNA
AUGACCACACCACACCACCACAGGGAAGACAGGGGGGCUAACAGGACAAAAAUGACAUUUGCCAGAGUUUCUUGCUGCUUGGAUCUGACUGCAAUUUCAGUUUUGCCAUCAAGAGGUACUUCCAUGAGCUCUGGACAGUGGCAGAGAGGAAGAGGUGCUCUUCUGCAGUGCGUUGGAUGGUCUGCAGGCUCCUGCCAAUGUGAGGAUUUGCAGCAACUGGUAUAUCCAUGGUCUUGCCACCAGCUUCCUGAAUGUGGGGCAGCUGGAGCUGCAUUAGUAGUCCUUGUAGGGGCAGCUGCUGUCUCCUGGUCUCAGGCUCAUAGCUGUGGGGAUGUGGCUUUAAGCCAAAGCCAAGCAGUGGUCCUGACCUUCAUUUGCCUAGGCCUUCUGAUUACUCUGUAAGUCUCUAUUUCCCUUAUUAAAUCUCUUUCUGCUGGAUACUUUGGGUGUUUCUACUUUGUAUACAGAAUGCUGAUUGAUAUAUAGGACACAGCUGGGCCAGGUGAAAGCUGGGCUAAACAAAGGAGGGGUCAGCCUGGGCCUGAUUCAGAGGCCAAGGAAGAUGCUGACCCUGGUGUCUGUGAUGAGGAUGUGAUGUGGUUGAGAAAAAUCUCGAGCUUCAGGGUCAGAGGCUCUCAGGGUGAGCAGGGACAGACCAUCAGCCGGGCUUCAGUGACCUGCUGUGGACGCUGGAGGGGAGCAUUGCAGAAAUCCCAACAGGUCCUUUCAAAGGUGGCCUAGAACUGCCCUCAUUCAGAAACCAAGGGCUGCUCUCCUGUGGAGGGCUGAAGAAGACGGGCAAACAAAUCCAGCCACAGCUCACCCAGAGCCUGGGGUCCGGCUGGGUCUGGGUGACCAAUGUGGGGCCAAUUCUAGUACAUCCAGAGGAGGACAGGUGAGCAGCCCCCUCAAGGGGGCAGGCUGGAAAAGUGCAGAGUGUCAAGAAUUUCCUGGGGAAAGUGCUCAGGCUGCCUCGGCCCUGUGGUGCGCAUCUGCCAGCCCCCAGAGCAGUUCACCCUUUCAAGAGGAGAUGCUGCAGCAACCAGAGGGGCUCCGAGGUGCCUGCCCAGCUGGGCCCUGCACCCAAGAGAAAGGAGAGGCUGAGGCUACUGCAAAGGUACCAAGUUCCCGCCGGACUUACAUCUGAGCACCACACAUUCCCCCUACAGAAAGAUUAAAAGAGACUGUCUGCAGCUGAAUGACUAGGAGUAAUGGAAUUAGGCGUGAUCUGUGCGGUACCUGGCUCUCAGCUCCUGGCUGCAUUUGAUUGGCAGAGACAUCAUUUGCUGAGUGUUGCUGCCUGCCCAGUGACAUACAGGUACCACCCCGUUUAAUCCUAAGAGGAAUAAUCAUCAUCCCUAUUGGGACAAGUCCUAGUGGGUAUGAUAAAUUAUAUCGUUUGCUGAGAAUGAUGGAAAGGAAAACCUGGCUGUCCCCACCCGCAAGUGGAAAACUGCUUGGGGCGUUCUAAAGUAGCAAAACAGUAUAUAUAUAUAUCAUACACUGGUUAAAACAAUUCUUUAACCAUGGGAUAUGUGACUCUGUCCCCGUGGCUCCCUCAUGGAGAGUACUUUCUAGUUUGUGAUCAGUGGUAAGCAGGCACCAGCUGCUUACCUGGUUUAUCUUGGGUCUUUGUGAAAACACAGAACACCUGUUUAUUAAUAACAAUCACCUGUUCACAGAGAGAAACUACGUGGGUCAGCAUCUGCUCGAGGCCCUCAGCCUGGGAUGCCGUCAGCCCCUGAGGCUCUCAGCUCGGAAGGCUGUUGGCCCCCGGACGGUCCCACUUUACUGUUCUAUCUGGGUGUCUGCUUCUCAAUGCCUCCAGCACCGCCUGGGUGGGAGUCUUUACAGCCGAGCUGGUCUCCGUACAUCCCACUGGUCUAGAUGAGGAAACUGAAACUCAGAGAGGUUAAGGAAGUUGCCGGCCAUCACAGCGCUGGUUAAUGGAGUUGAGAUUUGAACUCAGUCUGCCUAGUGUGGAGCCACAAGUCCUACCACUAGGUGUACUGCCAAAAGGAGCAGGGUGUCUUCUGGGUCCCCUCCUUGACAGUCUGCGAGGCAAAAUCAGCACCACCUCCGGCCUUCCUUCAGCCUCUCCCCACCCAUCCUCUGCUUCCCAGCUUCUUCCCCAGGCACCCUUCUGACCUGUGCCUGGCAGAUGAGGGGUUAAUGUAGAAAAAGGGCUUUGCUCUCCUCUUCUGGCCUGGCUUGAUGGGUGCUGGGUGUGUUUUAAUCCUCCCUUCCUUUAUUUCAGUUUAAGCGGGUAAUUGUCAUGCUGCUCCCAUAUCAUCCACUGACAUUUAAGUCCCAGCUCUUUCUAAAUAAGGAGUGGAUUGGCCACAGCUUGUGCCAUGGGGAGGGGUAGUGUCAGGCCUUCCUUGCAGUGUGAGGGGCACCGUCCCUGGCUCUUGGACUUCCUUGAGGCAAGGAGGAGAGGAAAGGCUCCCAGCUGUGGCAGUUCUCACAGGUUUUAGAGACUCAGAGCUGCCCUGGAAUGAUCUGAAGCGGAGGUGUGGCUAUUCUGGUCCUGAUGACCCUCAGCUUAGAAUUUCACCCUUCCAGCCCACCUUUGUCUUGAAGGUGGAAACUGGGGACCCAUAACCAAAUGUUUUGCUUUGCCAAUGUACUGUUUAACAAUUUUGAAUACACUGUCCUUGAAUUCUUUCCAGUCCUCAUCACUCCCUAUGGUUCUAGCUUGCUAACUUGUAAAUUGUGCCGCCUCCAAACUUCUUUCUUAUAUGUGCAAGUGGCCCUGGAAAAGGUAGAUCCUACAAAUCACACCUCAU